GGGUUGUGAGGUUAAGCGACUAAGCGUACACGGUGGAUGCCUUGGCAGUCAGAGGCGAUGAAGGACGUGCUAAUCUGCGAUAAGCGUCGGUAAGGUGAUAUGAACCGUUAUAACCGGCGAUUUCCGAAUGGGGAAACCCAGUGUGAUUUGUCACACUAUCAUUAACUGAAUCCAUAGGUUAAUGAGGCGAACCGGGGGAACUGAAACAUCUAAGUACCCCGAGGAAAAGAAAUCAACCGAGAUUCCCCCAGUAGCGGCGAGCGAACGGGGAGCAGCCCAGAGCCUGAAUCAGUGUGUGUGUUAGUGGAAGCGUCUGGAAAGGCGUGCGAUACAGGGUGACAGCCCCGUACACAAAAAUGCACAUACUGUGAGCUCGAUGAGUAGGGCGGGACACGUGGUAUCCUGUCUGAAUAUGGGGGGACCAUCCUCCAAGGCUAAAUACUCCUGACUGACCGAUAGUGAACCAGUACCGUGAGGGAAAGGCGAAAAGAACCCCGGCGAGGGGAGUGAAAAAGAACCUGAAACCGUGUACGUACAAGCAGUGGGAGCACGCUUAGGCGUGUGACUGCGUACCUUUUGUAUAAUGGGUCAGCGACUUAUAUUCUGUAGCAAGGUUAACCGAAUAGGGGAGCCGAAGGGAAACCGAGUCUUAACUGGGCGUUAAGUUGCAGGGUAUAGACCCGAAACCCGGUGAUCUAGCCAUGGGCAGGUUGAAGGUUGGGUAACACUAACUGGAGGACCGAACCGACUAAUGUUGAAAAAUUAGCGGAUGACUUGUGGCUGGGGGUGAAAGGCCAAUCAAACCGGGAGAUAGCUGGUUCUCCCCGAAAGCUAUUUAGGUAGCGCCUCGUGAAUUCAUCUCCGGGGGUAGAGCACUGUUUCGGCAAGGGGGUCAUCCCGACUUACCAACCCGAUGCAAACUGCGAAUACCGGAGAAUGUUAUCACGGGAGACACACGGCGGGUGCUAACGUCCGUCGUGAAGAGGGAAACAACCCAGACCGCCAGCUAAGGUCCCAAAGUCAUGGUUAAGUGGGAAACGAUGUGGGAAGGCCCAGACAGCCAGGAUGUUGGCUUAGAAGCAGCCAUCAUUUAAAGAAAGCGUAAUAGCUCACUGGUCGAGUCGGCCUGCGCGGAAGAUGUAACGGGGCUAAACCAUGCACCGAAGCUGCGGCAGCGACGCUUAUGCGUUGUUGGGUAGGGGAGCGUUCUGUAAGCCUGUGAAGGUGUGCUGUGAGGUAUGCUGGAGGUAUCAGAAGUGCGAAUGCUGACAUAAGUAACGAUAAAGCGGGUGAAAAGCCCGCUCGCCGGAAGACCAAGGGUUCCUGUCCAACGUUAAUCGGGGCAGGGUGAGUCGACCCCUAAGGCGAGGCCGAAAGGCGUAGUCGAUGGGAAACAGGUUAAUAUUCCUGUACUUGGUGUUACUGCGAAGGGGGGACGGAGAAGGCUAUGUUGGCCGGGCGACGGUUGUCCCGGUUUAAGCGUGUAGGCUGGUUUUCCAGGCAAAUCCGGAAAAUCAAGGCCGAGGCGUGAUGACGAGGCACUACGGUGCUGAAGCAACAAAUGCCCUGCUUCCAGGAAAAGCCUCUAAGCAUCAGGUAACAUCAAAUCGUACCCCAAACCGACACAGGUGGUCAGGUAGAGAAUACCAAGGCGCUUGAGAGAACUCGGGUGAAGGAACUAGGCAAAAUGGUGCCGUAACUUCGGGAGAAGGCACGCUGAUACGUAGGUGAAGCGACUUGCUCGUGGAGCUGAAAUCAGUCGAAGAUACCAGCUGGCUGCAACUGUUUAUUAAAAACACAGCACUGUGCAAACACGAAAGUGGACGUAUACGGUGUGACGCCUGCCCGGUGCCGGAAGGUUAAUUGAUGGGGUUAGCGCAAGCGAAGCUCUUGAUCGAAGCCCCGGUAAACGGCGGCCGUAACUAUAACGGUCCUAAGGUAGCGAAAUUCCUUGUCGGGUAAGUUCCGACCUGCACGAAUGGCGUAAUGAUGGCCAGGCUGUCUCCACCCGAGACUCAGUGAAAUUGAACUCGCUGUGAAGAUGCAGUGUACCCGCGGCAAGACGGAAAGACCCCGUGAACCUUUACUAUAGCUUGACACUGAACAUUGAGCCUUGAUGUGUAGGAUAGGUGGGAGGCUUUGAAGUGUGGACGCCAGUCUGCAUGGAGCCGACCUUGAAAUACCACCCUUUAAUGUUUGAUGUUCUAACGUGGACCCGUGAUCCGGGUUGCGGACAGUGUCUGGUGGGUAGUUUGACUGGGGCGGUCUCCUCCUAAAGAGUAACGGAGGAGCACGAAGGUUGGCUAAUCCUGGUCGGACAUCAGGAGGUUAGUGCAAUGGCAUAAGCCAGCUUGACUGCGAGCGUGACGGCGCGAGCAGGUGCGAAAGCAGGUCAUAGUGAUCCGGUGGUUCUGAAUGGAAGGGCCAUCGCUCAACGGAUAAAAGGUACUCCGGGGAUAACAGGCUGAUACCGCCCAAGAGUUCAUAUCGACGGCGGUGUUUGGCACCUCGAUGUCGGCUCAUCACAUCCUGGGGCUGAAGUAGGUCCCAAGGGUAUGGCUGUUCGCCAUUUAAAGUGGUACGCGAGCUGGGUUUAGAACGUCGUGAGACAGUUCGGUCCCUAUCUGCCGUGGGCGCUGGAGAACUGAGGGGGGCUGCUCCUAGUACGAGAGGACCGGAGUGGACGCAUCACUGGUGUUCGGGUUGUCAUGCCAAUGGCACUGCCCGGUAGCUAAAUGCGGAAGAGAUAAGUGCUGAAAGCAUCUAAGCACGAAACUUGCCCCGAGAUGAGUUCUCCCUGACCCUUUAAGGGUCCUGAAGGAACGUUGAAGACGACGACGUUGAUAGGCCGGGUGUGUAAGCGCAGCGAUGCGUUGAGCUAACCGGUACUAAUGAACCGUGAGGCUUAACCUUACAACGCCGAAG
rnacentral:rRNA from 1 species